UAAAAGAGAACCAGUAAAGAACUUAGACUAGAAGGGGAGAAAAAGAAUAACAUGCAGCUGAUGCAGUGCUCUCAACGGAAAAAGAAUGUUCAGGCACAAGGUUUUCUAUUCAAGGCAUCCAUAAUUGAUAAUCACGCACAAUUGACAAUAUUUUGUCUGAGUUCAACACAUGACAAACAAUAUCAUAAAAACAAUCUACCUUUAUGUCAGGGUUUUGCUCUUUC
rnacentral:lncRNA from 1 species